UUUAAGUGCAACCAUAAGUUUCCAUGCCCAAUUUUAAUUGUCCAUCUUAUUUAUUUUUUUUAUAAUUAGUAUUUUUGUUGUUAUAAGAUGAUAAAACAUAAAUAUUACUUUAUGCAUGACUUAUGUUUUUUUAUUUUUUUUAAAAAAAAAUUCAAAUAAGACGAACAAUCAAAAUUUGACACGAAAAAUCAUAGUUGCGCUUAAA
rfam:Oryza sativa (indica cultivar-group) chromosome 9, whole genome shotgun sequence.